rnacentral:tRNA from 1 species
GCCGGGGUGGUGGAAUCGGUAGACACGAGAGACUUAAAAUCUCUUGGGGAAUUUCCCCGUGUGGGUUCGAGUCCCACCCCCGGCACAA